GUUUUAUGAUUGUUUUCAUCAAGAGUGUAUUAAAUAUUGUAAUGGUUAUGGUUAGUCACAUUUAUAAAUCAGAUCAGUGAGGCACAAGUAGAUUACAUUCAAAAAUGUCUAUAAUUUAACAAUCAGGUUGGGAGUUAUUAAUGAUCCUCGUUCUAUAAAUGUUAAUUACAAAAUGGACACAUUUUCAUGGUAUAUACAUCACAUAUAAAUACACAAUAAAAUCAUUAAAAAAACCACAUGCAAUAGAGCACACUAUGGGCGUGAACUCAGAGGAUGUAAACCGUUUAUAGAAAUAGCUGAGAAUUCCUGUACACCAGCUCAGUCAGUCCCAAGUUACACAUCGAGAAUAACACUAAUAAUUACAUCUUGAUUAUACAAAUAAACGACGAUGGUGACAUUCUCCAGUUACUCUAUAAUAUGAUAAUAAUGUUCAUUCUGGUGUUUAAAGGAUAUUCCCGGCUGGAUAGACCCACAAUUAUAUAAUGCAUCACAGAGGUAAUUUAUUUAAAGCGGCUCUGACACUUCUCAGUUUAUGAAGAUAUAAUCUCUAUAAAAUACUGAUGCUAUGUUGGAAUGACGUUGAGAUCGCAAUGCAAUCCGAAGAUAUUAAAAGGUAAAGUAUGCUUUGUCUCAUGGACAAGUCUGAGGUUGGCAAAAGUUGAAAAAAGUCGGAGCUCCACUGUAAACUUUUAUCCAAUCCGAGCAGCUAUCACAAGCGACAGCUCUCGCUGGAUCCUCCCCACACCUCAGUGUUGCAUUCUCGACCCCAGGAUGAAGAUGGCGGCUACGAGGGACAGUUUCAAGUAAGUUAACCCACCUUUUACUGUACCCCAUGACCACUGGACUCCGAGAGUGACACACCCGCUUUAACAAAGUGCAAUUAAAAAUAAUAAAAAUAUAGUCACCCAUAACCUUAUAGCUCUAACCGUGUUUUUAUAUGAGUUAGACCAACGUGUGCACAUUGUCUCAUGGAAAACAAUGACAGCACCCAUGGAUAUUAUAUAGAAGUGGAAAGCUUA